rnacentral:rRNA from 1 species
CCUACGGGAGGCAGCAGUGGGGAAUAUUGGACAAUGGGGGGAACCCUGAUCCAGCCAUGCCGCGUGUGUGAAGAAGGCCCUCGGGUUGUAAAGCACUUUCAGUGAGGAAGAACGCCUGGUGGUUAAUACCCAUCAGGAAAGACAUCACUCACAGAAGAAGCACCGACUAACUCCGUGCCAGCAGCCGCGGUAAUACGGAGGGUGCGAGCGUUAAUCGGAAUUACUGGGCGUAAAGCGCGCGUAGGUGGCUUGAUAAGCCGGUUGUGAAAGCCCCGGGCUCAACCUGGGAACGGCAUCCGGAACUGUCAAGCUAGAGUGCAGGAGAGGAAGGUAGAAUUCCCGGUGUAGCGGUGAAAUGCGUAGAGAUCGGGAGGAAUACCAGUGGCGAAGGCGGCCUUCUGGACUGACACUGACACUGAGGUGCGAAAGCGUGGGUAGCAAACAGGAAUAGAUACCCCAGUAGUC